AGUCUAUUUAUACUUAUUAUUUUAUUCUGUGUGUAUGAAAAAUUUCAUUUUAGUUUUUGUUAUUGAUUAAGGAGUGUGAUUAGUUUUUAAAUUUUUUAAAAGAGUAUGGAAUAACGAUAAUGAGACAAUUUCUCUUAAUAAGUGCAUAUUUUUUCUUUAUAAUGACUGUUUUGUCCUCCGUAUGUAAAUAUUGUGUAUCAAAAGUGAGGGUAAAAUAGGAAAAAUAGGUAUAUGAUUGUCAUUUUCUAAAAAAAUGAGGGUAAAAUAGGGAUAUGAUUGUUAAUUUGUCAAAAGGUACAAAAUUAAAGCCUCUUCAACCACCUACCUCCUCCCACGUUCUCCUAAAUCGCAACCACUUCAGUUCAUUUAAACUAUCAAAAAAAAAAUCAUGAUUUCACUUACCUGUAUGAGAAAAUGAUGGUGGGACAAUUUAUCUUUAUUUUAUGUAAAUAUUGUGCAUCAAAACUAAGGGUAAAAUAGGAAAAAUAGAGAUAUGAUUGUUAUUUUCUCAAAAGAUACAAAAUUACUAUUUUACCCUCCUUAUGCAAAUAUUGUAUAUCAAAAAUGAGGGCAAAAUAGGAAAACUAGAGAUAUGAUUGUUAUUUUCUCAAAAGAUACAAAAUUACUAUUUUACCCUCCUUAUGCAAAUAUUGUAUAUCAAAAAUGAGGGCAAAAUAGGAAAAAAUGGUCAAAAAGUUCAAAAGAUACAAAAUUACUAUUUUACCCUCAUUAUGUAAACAUUGUAUAUCAAAAGUGAUGGCAAAAUAGAAAAAAAAGGACAAAAAUUUGACAAUGAGAGUUCUCUUAAUAAUAAUAUAGAUGUACCUAUCUCUCUCUUCCUUCACCCAUCCUAUCAGAUUUCUUUUCUCUCUUUCCCUCCCUCUCCUCUCACUAACAAAAAUUACCAUUUGCCAUACGCAAUUUUGCCUGACAAACCAACUUUCGUCGGACAAAGUACGUUUACCCACUCUUGGUCUGCGCGCGAGGAGGGAGGAGAGAGAGACUGGAUGAUACAAAACAAAAACCAAGAAAAUUGGACAGGGAACAAAGGUGGAGACUGUUGAGUGAGGGAGAGGAAAAAAACAAAAAAACAAAAACCCAUACAUGUGUGAGAGUGAGAUAGAGAAACGAUGGGAUGAGUGAAAGAAAGAGUGCGUGAAUCAUACGUGGUUGGUAUGUGCCUCAACUGUGCUCCCGUGACUUGUUCUGAUUCUAUGUAUUUGAUCAUUUUGAACUAAAAUCAAACUUUUGGGUUACAGACCCACUCAUGGUCUGCCUGCGUCAGCGCCAUGUUUUAUUAUUAUUUUAUUAAUGUUUUUUCGUUCUUAUUGUUAAUAAAAGUUGAGUAAGCGCACGAUUUGCGUCUUUUUUUUAUUAAAUAAAGAUUUCGUAGUGAUUUGUUUUUAAGAAAAAGUUUGACGAAGUCCAUUUAAUUAAGGGAACUUUAACGAAAAGCUUCCGGUAUUGUUUAUUUUAACGAAAAAUCAUAUUUUUACACUAAAAAGUCAAUCCUAGUACUAUUCACUUUACCCUUUAUUUUGUCCUUAUCAUUAAAACUUAAAAUUUUCAAGUCUUUUUCAUUAGUUUUCCUUUUAAUUAAUGCUUAAUUAGAUUAAUAGUACAUGUGAUGAUAGAGUAGUUAUAAGAUAGUCAUGUGGUAAAAAAAUUAGAAUAUAAGCUUCUGUGGUAAAGUUAUUAAGAUUUAAGCACAAAAUUAAAAAUUUCAUGAAUUUUCCGUUAAUUGUUAGCAUAUGAGGCUCACAUUUGAGACUUAAAAAAUAAAGUUAGCCUACAUGUAAGCCCCACGUGCUAACCAUUAACGAAAAGUUCUGUUUUAGCCUAAUAUAUGUGGCUCAAGUGCUAAUAAUUAACGGAUAAUUGAUGGAAUUUUUAAUUUUGGGUAUAAAUCCUAAAGAUUUCACCGUAGAAGCUUAAAUUCUAGUUUUUAUUUUAUUUUUGCCACAUGGGUUAUCUUCCAACUACCGUAUCACCAUAGGGACUAAUAAUCCAAUUAGGCCUUUAAUUAAAGCU
rnacentral:lncRNA from 1 species